UUUUAACUGCCUAAGGAUGAGCUCGCGCCUGAUUAGCUAGUUGGUAAGGUAAUGGCUUACCAAGGCCACGAUCAGUAGCUGGUUUGAGAGAACGAUCAGCCACACUGGGACUGAGACACGGCCCAGACUCCUCCGGGAGGCAGCAGUGAGGAAUUUUCCGCAAUGGGCGAAAGCCUGACGGAGCAAUACCGCGUGAGGGAUGAAGGAUUUUGGUCUGUAAACCUCUUUUCUCAAGAAAGAAGUUCUGACGGUACUUGAGGAAUAAGCAUCGGCUAACUCCGUGCCAGCAGCCGCGGUAAUACGGGGGAUGCAAGCGUUAUCCGGAAUCAUUGGGCGUAAAGCGCCUGUAGGUUGUUUAAUAAGUCUGUUGUUAAAGACUAGGGCUUAACCCUAGAAAAGCAAUGGAAACUAAUAGACUAGAGUAUGGCAGGGGUAGAGGGAAUUUCUAGUGUAGCGGUGAAAUGCGUAGAUAUUAGAAAGAACACCAGUGGCGAAGGCGCUCUACUGGACCAUUACUGACACUCAGAGGCGAAAGCUAGGGGAGCAAAAGGGAUUAGAU
rnacentral:rRNA from 1 species